GCUCAGUUGCUGAGGGAGUCGGCACCAAGAGUGAGCUUCUCUAGCUGCAGCAGUCCCCUGUUGGCAUCUCGCCACCCUCCAACACACACAGCCCUGCACCCUCGGAUCAGAGCCGUCAUCCAGAGCCCAGCUCAGUGCCUAUUACAUGAACUGCACAGAUCCUGAGGCCACCUAGUGGAGGUUGCUGCCAUUUUCCUGAACAGAGAAUCCAAGUCCACUCUUCUGCACCAUCUUCAAACCAGGAAGCUGUGAGGGGAACAGUUUCAUUGUUGUUGUUUUUUCCAGUGAAAUCACCCUUCAACUUAGGAUUCAUGCCUACCUUCUGGACUUCUGAGGACUAUGAGAAUGUUGAUAAGCUGAAUGCAACCAUACAGGCUGAAGUCACCCAUCUGGAGGCUCCACUUUCCUCCACAGUGGCCUUGAUAAUAGUGUUGAUGAUUAUUUUCUCAUUGGUAAUGACUUCCUUUGUGACGUACUGUUUCCACAAGUGGAGGCUGAAAGGUCGCAAGCUGCAGACAGCCCAGGAAGAGUAUCAAAGAGAUCAGGAGAAAUAUAUAUUUCAGAGCUUUCCUGAUCUUAUAACCUAAAAAUGCAAUAAACUGACAUGAAGUGCGCCAUCUGCAACAAAGCAACAUAACAUGUAACAAGAAAUGAAAAAAAAAACAUGACAUUAGAAGGAAUAAAGAAAUUAGACAUGAAAUAAUAAGAAGUGAAAUAACAUGUAUUAAAAACCACUGGCAGCAAAAUGACAUGCUGCAAAACAAUAUGAAGUGAAAGGAGAGAAGAAUGACAAUUGUACAAUGAAUUCUCAAAGCAAGAGUUCAUGCAGCUGAUCUGUUCAGCUGUUCAUUGUUUGUGUGCUGCCUACAGUUUUAUUACAGGUUAUAAACAAUUGGCGGUAGGUUUCUUUGUUGUAAAGUGAAGGCAAAGCUAUCACAUAUUUGACAUCUAUGUUUUAUUUACUCUUAACCUUUGGUUUGGUUGGGAGGUGUGGGUAAAUAGAAGUUCUGUACUGCUCAUUUACUUACCAAAGGUGGGCAGCUGAAUACACAGACAGAAAUUUUGUUUAGUAUCAGGCUCAUGAUGUAGUUUACUAGUAUUUCUUGGCCAUUAAUAUUGGUCAUGAAGAUGAGAAGAAGAAAGACUAUAAUUUUGGCACAUGUGGCUGAUAUUUUAAGUACUGACCAUUAGAAAAUAAGUGUGUUAAAUUGUAAGCAAUGUGUGUUUUUUAUUUAAAAGGAGAGGGAGAAAAUCAACUUCCAAACAUUCAAUUACCUCACCCUCCGAAAUUUUGCUUAUUUAUGGCUUGCCUGAAGUUAAUAUUAAUCAAUGUUGUCUAUGUUUGAAGCAGAAUUAUUGUCUGGUGAUAGUGCUGUAUGUAUACUUGUUUUAAUAAGGUAAAGUGAUUGUUAUAAUAUGAAUGAGGUAAUUUUAAAGAGUAUGUAUUAAGUAGUGCCGACAAUUAAAAAUAUAAAAAUUUCUUGGAUGUUAUAAAUGAAAUAUACUAAAUGAUAUAUAGAUUCAUUAUAGAAUGUAUUGUGCAGCAUACCAGUUAUUGGAUAUGAAAGCAGGUAAGCAAUCAGUCAUACUUUGUGACUCAAUAAAGUUAUGCAUUAAAAAUAAAAUGCUAGUAUUUGGACACUAA